UGUACGUCAGACUUCCAAGAAAAGCUCGCAAUGUCAUGAAUAAAAAAUGCCUGUACCAUAACCGACACAGGUGGGUAGGUAGAGUAUACUAAGGGGCGCGAGAUAACUCUCUCUAAGGAACUCGGCAAAAUGACUCCGUAACUUCGGGAGAAGGAGUGCCUUAUUUAUAAGGUUGCAAUAACAAGAUCCAAGCAACUGUUUAUCAAAAACACAGGUCUCCGCUAAGUCGUAAGACGAUGUAUGGGGGCUGACGCCUGCCCAGUGCCAGAAGGUUAAAGAAGUUGGUUAGUGUAUGCGAAGCUGAUGACUGAAGCCCUGGUGAACGGCGGCCGUAACUAUAACGGUCCUAAGGUAGCGAAAUUCCUUGUCGGGUAAGUUCCGACCCGCACGAAAGGCGUAAUGAUUUGGAUACUGUCUCGGAGAGAGGCUCGGUGAAAUAGACUUGUCUGUGAAGAUGCGGACUACCUGCACCAGGACAGAAAGACCCUAUGAAGCUUUACUGUAACUUGAAAUUGGAAUUGGACUUUGCUUGCGCAGUAUAGGUGGGAAGCGUUGAAGAUAUUCUUGCGGGAGUAUUGGAGCUAUCAGUGAGAUACCACUCUUGUAAUGUUAGAUUUCUAACUUUGAACCAUAAUCUGGUCAAAGAACAGUUUCAGGUGGGCAGUUUGACUGGGGCGGUCGCCUCCCAAAUGGUAACGGAGGCGUACAAAGGUUUCCUCUGAACGGAUAGAAAUCGUAUCUAGAGUGUAAAGGCAUAAGGAAGCUUGACUGUGAGACCUACAAGUCGAGCAGGGACGAAAGUCGGUCUUAGUGAUCUGACGGUACUGAGUGGAAAGGCCGUCACUCAACGGAUAAAAGUUACUCUAAGGAUAACAGGCUGAUCUCCCCCAAGAGUUCACAUCGACGGGGAGGUUUGGCACCUCGAUGUCGGCUCAUCGCAUCCUGGGGCGGUAGUACGUCCCAAGGGUUGGGCUGUUCGCCCAUGAAAGCGGUACGCGAGCUGGGUUCAGAACGUCGUGAGACAGUUCGGUCCAUAUCCGGUGUAGGCGUUAGAAUAUUGAGAGGAGCCUUCUUUAGUACGAGAGGACCGAGAAGGACACACCGCUGGUGUACCAGUUAUCGUGCCAACGGUAAACGCUGGGUAGCUAUGUGUGGAGUGGAUAACCGCUGAAAGCAUCUAAGUGGGAAGCCCACCUUAAGAUGAG
rnacentral:rRNA from 1 species